AAUGAGAACUAUACUGAAAUUUUUAAGAUGGUGAACCACGACACAUUGACAUAAUAAAAAAUAGUCACCGAACCAGGAACAUCACCGUUGCUGAAUAAUAGAAUUUAAAUGAUUGUAUUUAUGCACAGAAAAUAAAAGAAGAAUAAAUGGUUACAUACAGAACACGAUAGCACUCAGCAUACUCCUUUAGGUCGGUGGAAAAUAUGACGUGAGAGAUAAGAGCACCCCUCUCUUUCAGUAUCUUGAACAUUUCAUCAAAUAAAGCCGACCAGAAUUGUCAGAAGGUCACUAGAGCAGCUUCCUCCAUGUAACAGUUUCUAUUUCUCAUACAACAUACAGAGAUGCUGCUGGGCAUGACAAUCCCAGAUAAAUAUCCUGCAUUUCCUAUUAAACAAAUCAAAUUAUAUUCACAUCUGGUAUGUAUGUACAUACAGGCUAAUUGCUACGCAAAGCUGGUAAGCUCUAAACGAUACAUGAUUAUAUAUACAGCAGCACAAUAACAUAGUUCCACACUAUGGAACAGAGCAACAGUUAGUGCUGAUUCCUAGCCGCAAAUUGUGCUUAACAACUGGCCACCAAUUCCACGACAACCACUAUUGCUUCGCAGGUUCUGGUGUAUCUAGCUGACGUAUUUUAACUUGCUGAUCGAAGCCUGUUCGUUUUAUGGAGUGGAGGUUGCUCCAGCAUUCCAUGUGAUGUGUCAUUUGAUUUAAUGUUGAGAGUGUUCUUAACAAGUCGAUGAGCUGCUUCUCCCAGUUGAUAUCCAGCGAUGGCUCCAGAUACUCGUGGCCUGUGGGAUGCAUCAUAUACAGAAUGGUCAGGCAAAUCAAGUAUCUCCAAUAGAAUAAUGACAGGUUCCAUGCAUCAAGAAAACUAGUACACUAUGGGAUGCUGCUCUUAGGACGAAAUACCAUUUAUAAGAAACAUGCAAAGAAUUAUUUAUUGGCCUCUACACAGGUUGAUGGUAGUUCGAUGAUGGUGGCAACACAAUCUGGCGGUCUUAUCGCCAUACGGUUUCAUGGUAGAAGAGGGUGGUUGCAUGAGAAUGGUGCUACUCGAAGGUUGAAGGAGGACAGUGGUCUACGGUGGUGUUCACGAGGUUCUUGUGAGUGCGAUUUAGUUUCUGAUGGAAAAAAAAAUUGCGAGAUUAAUUUGCGAAUUUGGUGUUUUCAUGGUUGACAAUUUAAUGUUUCUAAAAAUUGGAAAAAUAGGAAUUCUGAAAAUUAGAGAUUUAGGAUUUGCUGCAAGUAAUGAAAGAUUUUUGGUUGAUGGAAGAUAGAAGGAGUUAUCACACCAAAUUGAAACCAAUUUCACCAAAUU